ACAUACAAAGCCCCCCUUCAACUGACAUGACAAAGGCCUCCUUCUACUAGCUACCAGUCUCAUCAAAAUAAGUCUCAUCUCUAAUCUCUCUUCUCUGUGUGUUUUGGUGAGUCUAGCAAGCUACUAGUCAGUCACAGAGAAAAUACAGACUUACAACACCUAACGGAGAUGUCUGGUGGUCCCCUCUCCUGCUUCUCCAAACAGGGAAUACUCCUACUCUCUAUACUCCACUAUGGGACCUGGGCUGAUGUCCCUCCAAAGGACCAGUAUUGGUUGAAGGGAGGUUCGGUGUGUCUGGCUGUUGCAGAACCACCUGAGGAACUUAAAGGACUUAGAUGGAAGUUCAAUAGUGCUGUAAUAGUUGAUGAUAAAGAGAUCUCUCCUAAAUACAAGGAGAAGGUGGAUUAUAAUCCAGUGAACCACACUCUGUGCAUUAAGAAUUUGAUGCACACAGACAAUGGAAUUUACAUUGCAAAUGCAAAGAAAAUAGAUUGGUCAGAUUCAACGUCUUCAUACAGACUUAAGGUGUUGGAAGCUGUUCCCAUUCCAGCCAUGCAGGUGACCUACUCCAACUCAAGUACAGGACUUUGUAACAUCACAGUGAAUUGUUCAGGCUGGAUGUUUUCUGUCUGUGAUGGAGGUCAGUGCCCACUGUACCAGGAAUCUCUGUCAGUCUCUGAGGUCAACAUCACCGUCUCCAGUGGUAAUGGAUUCAUCCAGUGUAUCGUCAACAAUCAUGUCAAUGCAGAGACCAAAUCACAACUCAUGGAGGACAUAUGUAUUGUUGAGAAGAAGGGGAGAGCUGCAGCAUCAACAGUUGGCACCAUUGUGGGUGGUGUUAGUGGUGGAUUGUUCUUCAUUGUGUUAGUUGGUGUAGGAUGGAUCAUGUCAACCAGAAGACGGUGUAAAUAAGAACUGUCAAUGCAGUGAGCUCUCUACCAGGGGAGAGUCUGGAACCACAGAACACAGUGGGUCCUGAGGUAACAUCAAUCUACGACACUGCAGGGAGACCAGGAGCAGCAGUACCAGCAGCAGUAGCAGGAGGAGAAGAGGGCCAACCAGGGUACAAGUACACCACCAGAAGAGAGGAAAGAACUAAAGUUCCCCCAACAGGCAGAUGCAUUUUACAGCACUGUGC
rnacentral:lncRNA from 1 species